GACGAACGCUGGCGGCGUGCUUAACACAUGCAAGUCGAACGGGCUGCCUGGUUUUCGGAUCGGGUGGUGAGUGGCGAACGGGUGAGUAACACGUGAGUAACCUGCCCCUCUCUUUGGGAUAACGUCGGGAAAUCGGCGCUAAUACCGGGUAUUCUGGCUUCCUCGCAUGGGGUUGUUGGGAAAGGUUUUUUCUGGUGGGGGAUGGGCUCGCGGCCUAUCAGCUUGUUGGUGGGGUGAUGGCCUACCAAGGCGGUGACGGGUAGCCGGCCUGAGAGGGUGUCCGGCCACACUGGGACUGAGACACGGCCCAGACGCCUACGGGAGGCAGCAGGGGGGAAUAUUGCACAAUGGGCGGAAGCCUGAUGCAGCGACGCCGCGUGGGGGAUGACGGCCUUCGGGUUGUAAACCUCUUUCAGUGCAGAACAAGGCUCUUUGUGGGUUGAGGGUAUGCGCAGAAGAAGCGCCGGCUAACUACGUG
rnacentral:rRNA from 1 species